GACGAACGCUGGCGGCGUGCCUAAUACAUGCAAGUAGAACGCUGAAGGAGGAGCUUGCUUCUCUGGAUGAGUUGCGAACGGGUGAGUAACGCGUAGGUAACCUGCCUGGUAGCGGGGGAUAACUAUUGGAAACGAUAGCUAAUACCGCAUAAGAGUAGAUGUUGCAUGACAUUUGCUUAAAAGGUGCAAUUGCAUCACUACCAGAUGGACCUGCGUUGUAUUAGCUAGUUGGUGAGGUAACGGCUCACCAAGGCAACGAUACAUAGCCGACCUGAGAGGGGGAUCGGCCACACUGGGACUGAGACACGGCCCAGACUCCUACGGGAGGCAGCAGUAGGGAAUCUUCGGCAAUGGACGGAAGUCUGACCGAGCAACGCCGCGUGAGUGAAGAAGGUUGUCGGAUCGUAAAGCUCUGUUGUAAGAGAAGAACGAGUGUGAGAGUGGAAAGUUCACACUGUGACGGUAUCUUACCAGAAAGGGACGGCUAACUACGUG
rnacentral:rRNA from 1 species